rnacentral:rRNA from 1 species
UACGAAGGGGGCUAGCGUUGUUCGGAAUCACUGGGCGUAAAGCGCACGUAGGCGGACUCUUAAGUCAGGGGUGAAAUCCAAGGCUCAACCUUGGAACUGCCUUUGAUACUGGGAGUCUUGAGUUCGGAAGAGGUAAGUGGAACUGCGAGUGUAGAGGUGAAAUUCGUAGAUAUUCGCAAGAACACCAGUGGCGAAGGCGGCUUACUGGUCCGAUACUGACGCUGAGGUGCGAAAGCGUGGGGAGCAAACAGG